UAUUCUAAUAAAUUAACUGGCUACAGUGUUGGUUCUGCUAAAGUAACUGGUUUCAGGCCUGGUAGUGUUAUAGCAGACUACACAAUAAAUGCAACAUCCAACACACUUGAAUUUGAAGCAGCAAACACACAGGUUUUGGAAUCUCUAAGAAGCCAAGGAUUAUCUUUAGCUAAUGAUGCUUUUACUCUGAGUGAUCAAAGGGCCCUGACAACAGAUCAGUUAUAUCCUCUGCAAAAGGUGGAUCUGAAAUGUGAACAGCCAGGCUUUUUAAAU